AUCGGAGCCGCCAGCAGCUCUCUAUGUUUUCCUCAGCAUGGGAGAUACAGGCAGCGGCGGGCAGCCAGGCAGCCGAGGGGAGCUGCGGGACAGCACUCAUCAGCAGUUGUCAAUCAAGGGCAGGGGAAGUGUGGGCAUAGGCGUGUGCACGGGGGGUGUCUGGUGCACACAGGCACCCUCUAAUGUCCGGCACCUCCCUCACUCACGCAUGUAGCUGCAAGAGAUCGGCGACUGUGGCGAUCUAUUUCUGUGUACUCGCAGCCACCCGCACGCACGCUACACCCAGUUAGAAAGACCGGCGACAGGGGGACAAAUGUGCCGCUCCACCCACUACCGGAACCCACCAGUAAACGAUACUGCCGGGUAGGACGGGGGCCAAGGAGGGAGGAGACGAGUUGUCUAUGUAGUGGCCGGCGGCCAGAAGCGCUGAGCGGCGAGCGCACCCACAGUUACUGCCUGAGAAGAUGCCGGAGUCACCAUUUUGUGAGCCCCACUGGUGCUUAAAAGGUAACAGUUGAAACAGGUUGGGUACGUUAUCCUGGCGGUCGGGAUUUCGGUGGUCACAUGACCAACAGCGGCACCCCGACACUGACGAUCCUGACCCCAGACGAGUUUCAGAGCCAUUUGCCGAGAGGUUACCGCAGCCGAUUCCUUCUCCGUUAUACGGUAUUUGCAUAGGCAUGGCUCAAUGGCACAGUAGGGGCAUUAUCUCAGCUCGGUCCGGACCCAGAGUGAUCAGGAAGAAGUAUUGCAGAUUCCUAAAUAUAAUGCCAGAUGGGACAAACAGUUUCGGCAGUUAAGGAGAAGAUGGCAAAAUGUGACUCUCUCCCAAACGUAGCACUAUCUACCAUUCCCACCAUUUAUGUACAUAUUACCUAACCCUGUAGUGAAAUAUCCCAUGUCAGAAAUGGCCUCCACUAAUUAUACUGGAACACUGAUCUACUGUACAAUUAUCAUACAGUAAAGGUCCCGCUCUGAACGGAUUGUUCAGUGCUCACUGCCCUGGUGUCUAGCAUAUAUAAAUCCAAAUCUUUAUCCUGGUGCUAAAUAUAGUAUAUACUGGCUGGUAUAUAAUACAGAAUCUAAAUCCUGGUGACUGAUAUAGUAUACACUGACUGGUAUAUAAUAAUGAAUCCAUAUCUCGGUGACUGAUAUAGUAUACACUGACUGGUAUAUAACACAGAAUCCAUAUCCCUAUGACUGAGAUAGUAACACGGCCCUGUAUAUAAUACAAAUGCCAUAUCCCAGCGACUAACAUAGUAUAUACUGGCUGGUAUAUAAUACAGAAUCCAUAUCCCGGUGACUGAUACAGUAUAUAUAGUAUACACUGGCUGGUAUAUAAUACAUAAUCCAUAUCCCUGUGACUGAUACAGUAUAUAUAGUAUACACUGGCUGGUAUAUAAUACAUAAUCCAUAUCCCGGUGACUGAUACAGUAUAUAUAGUAUACGCUGGCUGGUAUAUAAUACAUAAUCCAUAUCCCGGUGACUGAUACAGUAUAUAUAGUAUAUGCUGGCUGGUAUAUAAUACAUAAUCCAUAUCCCGGUGACUGAUACAGUAUAUAUAGUAUAUACUGGUUGGUAUAUAAUACAUAAUACAUAUCCCGGUGACUGAUACAGUAUAUAUAGUAUACGCUGGCUGGUAUAUAAUACAUAAUCCAUAUCCCGGUGACUGAUACAGUAUAUAUAGUAUAUACUGGUUGGUAUAUAAUACAUAAUACAUAUCCCGGUGACUGAUACAGUAUAUAUAGUAUACGCUGGCUGGUAUAUAAUACAUAAUCCAUAUCCCGGUGACUGAUACAGUAUAUAUAGUAUACGCUGGCUGGUAUAUAAUACAUAAUCCAUAUCCCGGUGACUGAUACAGUAUAUAUAGUAUACGCUGGCUGGUAUAUAAUACAUAAUCCAUAUUUCGGUGACUAAUACAGUAUAUAUAGUAUACACUGGUUGGUAUAUAAUACAUAAUCCAUAUUUCGGUGACUGAUACAGUAUAUAUAGUAUACACUGGCUGGUAU